UAACCAUUGAUGGAAUUCUAUUGUUAUCCCUAGCUUCUGAAAGGGGAAUCCAUAAGCAUAGGCAAUCAAGAUAUGAUUUUGUUUCGCUAAAUUUUUUUUUCUAAUUUUGUCUUUCUUUUUUUUUCUUUCUUUUACUCUUCUUUUGUUAAACAGAUAUUGAUUAUAUUGUAUAUUCAGUUAUGCGGUGUACCUGUUCAUUUUAACUUUGGAUUUAUGUGUCUCAUUAUUAACAUGCUCGUUUUUUGUAAUAGUCAAACAAAGAAUUCUGAUAGCGUGGUGGAUGGAAUGAGUGAAUUUCAGUGGGGAGAAAUAUUUAGCUAGGGUAGGGAUGCGAGAAGAGAAAUGGAUAUAGAAGGCGUAAAAGUUUAAAGGGGAACGGGUGGUUUUUCCGCUUGGCUGUAUAGCAUGAUUGAGUUUUUCAGUCGUGUCUAUGUUCAGGUUUAUGAUAGACUGUGGUUGAUUCUGUUAAUUUCACACGUUUCACUUCCAUAAAGUGUGUUGACAGAAACUCCGCGUUAAGGUUUAUUAUAGGGAAUUCUUUUAUUUUUUUUCUUUUGUUCUUUUAUUGUCUUAGUGAUGUUUCUUUUUUCUCAUUUCUAUCUUUUCUGAAAAUGUCUUCGCACUGGCUCCACUUGUGCUUUCCAUUGAUGUUAUUAGAUUUUUUUGAGCUGUUGCUUGUUCGGGUAUGGAUGAGGCUUCAUUAUUCUAAACUUGAUGGAUCAUGGUGCACUGCACUGUUGACUGCGAUGCAUGAGAUAUAUUUAAAUGGGGAAGCCGAGAGGAAAAUCAAAAAACGAAGAAUGGAUGAUGAGAAAUUGAAAUGGAACAAGAUACUAUUGGGUUGGUUGUGCGUAUGUGUUUCACUAUUGGAACUUGAGGAUACUCGAUGGUUUACAGAAGUCAUAAAUUUAAAUAUCCCGUCUAAUCGCUCAUCUAUUAAAUCAAUAGUAGAAUGUAGUUUCAUAUCCGGGAGAAAUGU
rnacentral:snoRNA from 1 species